UACAGAGGUCUCAAGCGUUGUUCGGAUUCAUUGGGCGUAAAGGGUGCGUAGGCGGUGCGGAAAGUUGGGUGUGAAAUCCCUGGGCUCAACCGAGGAACUGCGCCCAAAACUACCGUACUUGAGGAAGAUAGAGGUGAGCGGAACUUACGGUGGAGCGGUGAAAUGCGUUGAUAUCGUAAGGAACACCCGUGGCGAAAGCGGCUCACUGGGUCUUUUCUGACGCUGAUGCACGAAAGCUAGGGGAGCAAACGGG
rnacentral:rRNA from 1 species